UUUCACGGCCUUCUGCCAGCCCUCAGGCUCCCAGGCUACUUCCAGCCCUGUACGGAAAAGGGCAGCCUGGGGCUCCCAGGCCAAGGGGGAAGGAGAUGCAGAGCUGUGCAGCAUUCUACUCCAAUGAUCAAGGACUCAGAAGAUCUUGUAUCUGGAAACUCAUGCUCCACCUGCAGCAGACCAGAGACCCUGGGGAAAUUCAU
rnacentral:lncRNA from 1 species